GACGAACGCUGGCGGCGUGCUUAACACAUGCAAGUCGAACGGAAAGGCCCUGCUUUUGUGGGGUGCUCGAGUGGCGAACGGGUGAGUAACACGUGAGUAACCUGCCCUUGACUUUGGGAUAACUUCAGGAAACUGGGGCUAAUACCGGAUAGGAGCUCCUGCUGCAUGGGGGGGGUUGGAAAGUUUCGGCGGUUGGGGAUGGACUCGCGGCUUAUCAGCUUGUUGGUGGGGUAGUGGCUUACCAAGGCUUUGACGGGUAGCCGGCCUGAGAGGGUGACCGGGCACAUUGGGACUGCGAGACGGCCCAGACUCCUACGGGAGGCAGCAGUGGGGAAUAUUGCAGAAUGGGCGGAAGCCUGAGGCAGCAACGCCGCGUGCGGGAUGACGGCUUUCGGGUUGUAAACCGCUUUCGCCUGUGACGAAGAGUGAGUGACGGUAAUGGGUAAAGAAGCACCGGCUAACUACGUG
rnacentral:rRNA from 1 species